UACGUAGGGGGCAAGCGUUGUCCGGAAUUAUUGGGCGUAAAGCGCGCGCAGGCGGUUUCUUAAGUCUGAUGUGAAAGCCCACGGCUCAACCGUGGAGGGUCAUUGGAAACUGGGAGACUUGAGUGUAGGAGAGGAAAGCGGAAUUCCACGUGUAGCGGUGAAAUGCGUAGAGAUGUGGAGGAACACCAGUGGCGAAGGCGGCUUUCUGGCCUAUAACUGACGCUGAGGCGCGAAAGCGUGGGGAGCAAAC
rnacentral:rRNA from 1 species